rnacentral:lncRNA from 1 species
UCCCGACGGAGGCGCGUCGCCCGGGCCCCGCGAGGCCUGCUGCCCAGGCGGGGAGUUGGGGGCCCCCCGUGCGCACUCGGCUCGAGGUGAACGACCUGCCCCCCAAGCCCCAUCGGCCGGGUGGGGCAGCGCCGGCAGCCACCUGUUGGACGGAGGGUGACUGCCCCGUGCUCUCUUCCACGGGGACCAAACUGAAAAAACGGACGCUGCCGCCGUCCCUGCACCUUGAGUCUACGUGAACGACGCCAAGGUCGGGGCGGGGAGCCUGCCCAGGGCGGAGUUUUCUCCGGGUUUGAUAUUACAGACCCCGCGGCCCCGGCCCGGCCCGGCCCCUGAGCUCCCCGCCCACCCCGACCCCCGGCCUCGGCCUAGGCCUCGGCAACUGCUCCCCCUGCCCGUCCUCCUCCCCUCCGGGGCCGCCCCCGCCGGGCCCCGCGGACGGCCCGGGCUCCGCUCCCUGCAGGUUGCAGCCGAGCCUCUCGUACGCUGCGGGGAGCGGGCGGUCUCAGGCCCGGGCCGAGCGGGGAGCGCAGGUUUCAAAAUAAUUCUGAGUGAACCACAAGCUUCAUAAUCAACUCUGAGAUUAAAAAUAAUUUGAGGUACAGUCAUCUCUCCAUCUUUGGCAUUGAAAUAUAUACUUGAGAAACAUCGGUAUAGAAAAAAUAAAGUGAGGGACUGGAUGGAACUAGAGACAGAGCAGAGAAUGAGACAAAGAGGACUGAAGAUCUACUUUCAGGAACUCUAAUAUGUAAAGACGGAGAAAGGAGAAUGAAAAGAAACGGGAGCCAAGGAGACGGGAAGAAAAGCAGAGGAAUCAGGGAUCCCAUUGUGAAAAGAAUAGAAAGAUUUCAAGAAAAAAAAGUCUCAGAAGCAUAUAUGCAGGCUCCAUGGAAAGGAACAAAAGCUCCCACACGUUGCAGUGAGAAAUGUGGGAAGAUCCUGACAUGGAAUUGCUGUGGUGGGGUCUUCAAGAGUUCCUCUAAAAAUGCAAAUCUAUACUCCUAG